rnacentral:lncRNA from 1 species
ACUUUCUGCUGUGACAGGGCAGCACUGAGUUGAAGGCAGAGUCCCACAGUUGCUGCAUUCUCCCUCCCCCAGGUGCACAGAUUCUCAGCACCACAGCGGCCGCUGCUGGGAGAUGGGAGAGGAAUGGCCUCGGUGUUUCAAGACUGUCUCUCCUACCCUCUUCAGUGCCUCUUUCAGUGUUAUGAAGUUAAACCCAGAUGAGAUCUCAAAAGGAAGGACACUUGAGCAAAGUUGCACAGUUGAUCCUUGACUCAUGGUACAAGACUCUUUCCACUACUCUGAGAGCCCUGAGUCCUGAGAAGAAGAUGGAAGGAAGAACUGCUAGUGUGCCUGAGACUUACAUUGUGAAGAUACUUUUUUAAAACUUGAGAGCUAAAAGAAUAUCAGCAGAGGAACAGCCCUGGUGUUCCAGCAGGAGCAAAGACAAAAAAGAAAAAAACUGGCAGUAGCCCUGAGACAACCACUUCUGGUGGCUGCCACUCACCUGGGGAUGUGGAGGUCUGGAGCUCUACGAGAUUCAUCACCCAUGUCCUGGGCCUGAGGAGAGGGGACCAGUGAGC